rnacentral:rRNA from 1 species
AUUGAACGCUGGCGGAAUGCUUUACACAUGCAAGUCGAGCGGCAGCGCGGGGGCAACCCUGGCGACGAGCGGCGAACGGGUGAGUAAUACAUCGGAACGUGUCCUGGAGUGGGGGAUAGCUCGGCGAAAGCCGGAUUAAUACCGCAUAAGCUCUGAGGAGGAAAGCGGGGGACCGGUAACGGCCUCGCGCUGUUGGAGCGGCCGAUGUCGGAUUAGCUAGUUGGUGGGGUAAAGGCCCACCAAGGCGACGAUCCCGUAGCUGGUCUGAGAGGAUGAUCAGCCACACUGGAACUGAGACACGGUCCAGACUCCUACGGGAGGCAGCAGUGGGGAAUUUUGGACAAGUGGGGGCAACCCUGAUCCAGCCAUUCCGCGUGAGUGAAGAAGGCCU